rnacentral:rRNA from 1 species
AUUGAACGCUGGCGGCAUGCUUUACACAUGCAAGUCGAACGGUAACAGCACUUCGGUGGCUGACGAGUGGCGAACGGGUGAGUAAUACAUCGGAACGUGCCUAGUAGUGGGGGAUAACUACUCGAAAGAGUAGCUAAUACCGCAUGAGAUCUAAGGAUGAAAGCAGGGGACCUUCGGGCCUUGCGCUACUAGAGCGGCUGAUGGCAGAUUAGGGAGUUGGUGGGAUAAAAGCUUACCAAGCCGACGAUCUGUAGCUGGUCUGAGAGGACGACCAGCCACACUGGGACUGAGACACGGCCCAGACUCCUACGGGAGGCAGCAGUGGGGAAUUUUGGACAAUGGGCGCAAGCCUGAUCCAGCAAUGCCGCGUGCAGGAUGAAGGCCUUCGGGUUGUAAACUGCUUUUGUACGGAACGAAAAGCCCUCUUCUAAUCCGGGAGGGUCAUGACGGUACCGAAAGAAAAAGCACCGGCUAACUACGUG